rnacentral:lncRNA from 1 species
UAAAGAUAGAUCAAGAAGACGAGAAUAAUAAUAUUAACAGCCAAGAUAAGAUUAGCACCACCAAGAAGAACAAGAAGAAAAAUCAGGUGUUGCUGGAGGGAUACGUGGAGGCGGUUGAUGAGGAGGAUGAACUGAAGAGGACAAAGAGCUUGACCGGUGAUGAUCUAGACGAACUAAAGGGGUGUUUAGAUCUGGGGUUUGGCUUCAGCUACGAGGAGAUUCCUGAGCUUUGCAACACCUUGCCUGCACUUGAGCUAUGUUACUCUAUGUCUCAGAAGUACUUGGAUGACCACCAGCACCAUGCAUCUCCAGACACCACCGCUACCCCCGAACCCGUCGCCAAUUGGAAGAUCUCUAGUCCUGGUCAGUCUUUUCUCUUUUUUACCAUCUUUCUUUGUUUUAUUUUUCUAUUUGUCAUCAGAUCUUGUUGUGCUCGUUUUUACAAGGACUUUGAGUGAUGAUAAGCUUUUGUUUCUUGCUUUUCUUUCCCACUUGUUGUAGUGUUAUAUCAUACAUGACAUGCUUUUCUUUGCUAGAUGAAAUUAGGAUUGAGCCAAAAAGAAUUGAAAAACUGAUUCAAAUCGAUUCAUUCGGCUUAGUUUAGAUUCAGGAAUUGAAAGCCCACACUUGGGGUUCCUUUAUUCAAAUAAAUACUUGGUUUCUUACACAAACACAAUAAUCAAGGUUGAUUUGCAUUGAUGCUGAGAAAUCCAAGAAACUAAUAUUUUGCCAUCUGCUCAAAGUUUACAAAUCUUUUCACAGAAAAGGGGAAAAAAAAAAAGCAGGAACAUUGUGCAAUUUGUUUUUCAUAGAACAGUAGUACUCGCAAGUUGGAUGCAUCUAGCCUGUGCAAAACCAUGUAUAGAUGGUCGACUUCGCUUAGGGAACGAGUUUUAACCUUGUGUAUGCAUUACAGGUGACCAUCCAGAAGAUGUUAAAGCAAGGCUUAAAUUCUGGGCACAAGCUGUGGCCUGCACUGUCAAACUGUGCAACUAAAAGAUUCAUGAACAAUCAUUGGAAAAAUGAGAAUGAAUAUUUUUCUCAUUGAUGAGCAUCAACUGGAUAAAACCCUACGCUCUGCCGAACCAUGCCAUGGUGGGGAUGACAUUUCCAGCAAUUGUGGGAAAUAGACCAGGCCAAAAUUUUAAAAAUGGAUCAGCUGCAAGGAGCAUGGGAAGAAGCUGGAAAGGAAGAUGUUACAGGUUUGAGAUUAACCGAUGAUCCAAUGAGUCUUGACUUAAUUCUGCGGAGACUAGGAUAUAUAUGAUAUAUUAAUUGUAUCCCGUAUGGUAUGAAUAAAAUAUGUCUUCUUACUGCUACUAUGCUUCAUUGGUGUUUGAUAUAUAUAUAUAUAUAUAUAUGGCUAUGGAAUCCAACCGUCUGUUGGCUUUGCAUGCAGUGGUGAGAGUCUCCAGUUGAGCUUCACCAACUAGUUCCGGACCUCUGCGUUUGCUGAGGUAACCAAUCUAAUUGUGUUGAUUCAUCAUACCUGUG